AGGGAGAAGGAAAAAACCUCUGAAGAUUACAUCAGGGCAUUCGCGUCACACACCGCUCAUCAUCCACACUUUGUAACAAAUUCUAAUAGAAGAAGUACUCAGACAAGGGAGAAGGAAAAAAAACUCUGAAGGUUACAUCAGGGCAUUCGGGUCACACACCGCUCAUCAUCCACACUUUGUAACAAAUUCUAAUAGAAGAAGUGACUCAGACAAGGCUGCAGAUCGGUGAUACAGAUGGAGCAGGCGGGAGGGAUCCACCAUGGGCCUCUCGGGAUGUAUUCUCCAGGAUCCCUCCGGUACCAGCGUAUGGCCCAGCCGUGAUGUUCCUUCCGCUCUCUCUUCC